AGAGUUUGAUCAUGGCUCAGAGUGAACGCUGGCGGCAGGCCUAAUACAUGCAAGUCGAACGGCAGCACAGCAGAGCUUGCUCUGUGGGUGGCGAGUGGCGGACGGGUGAGGAAUACGUGGGAAUCUGCCCAGUCGUGGGGGAUAACGUAGGGAAACUUACGCUAAUACCGCAUGCGCCCUUCGGGGGAAAGCCGGGGACCUUCGGGCCUGGCGCGAUUGGAUGAGCCCACGUCGGAUUAGCUAGUUGGCGGGGUAAAGGCCCACCAAGGCGACGAUCCGUAGCUGGUCUGAGAGGAUGAUCAGCCACACUGGAACUGAGACACGGCCCAGACUCCUACGGGAGGCAGCAGUAGGGAAUAUUGGACAAUGGGCGCAAGCCUGAUCCAGCCAUGCCGCGUGAGUGAAGAAGGCCCUCGGGUUGUAAAGCUCUUUUGUCCGGAAAGAAAAGCGCCGGGUUAAUACCCUGGUGUCCUGACGGUACCGGAAGAAUAAGCACCGGCUAACUUCGUG
rnacentral:rRNA from 1 species